GGGAUUGUGGCUCAGUGAUAGAGUGCUUGCCUAGCAAGCAUGAGGCAUUGGGUUUGAUCCCCGUAAACACA
rnacentral:tRNA from 1 species